ensembl:lncRNA
CACAGAAGCAGCACCACGCUUUGUUGUGCACACCCCUCUAUUUCCCUUUGCUCGGCUGCUGCUCCUCCACAACAACUCAAGCUUGUGGGGGAGGCCGUCACCCCCCAACCCUGCAGCCAGAGGGACCGCCGCCACCCAGACGAGCAGCAGCAUGCAGCUCAGAGCCGAGGGCUUGCAGUGCAGAAGCCGACUGCUGCCAGGCCCUGCCAUGCACUGCUGCUCCUGUGCCAUGCACUGCUGCUCCUGUGCCAUGCACUGCUGUGAGCGGCUGCUCUGCCCCUGCAGUCCACACUUCGGUCUCCCCGGCCCAACCUGUCACUGCUGCAGCACGUCAAAGGUACGCUUCCCCCUAUCUCUACUGGAGGGGAUUACGUUCCCAGCGGGGGCACGGGUUCUUUUUUUUUCUUUGCCAUCUUAUGAUUUAAUGUGACAACUGUAAUUUGAUGUGACGCGUCUUUGCAACAAUUCCCUACCUCGGAAAAUCACAAACAAGCUUCAAAUGAAGACGGAUCGCACAGACUCACAUCUCCCUGCGUGCUGCAGCUGGAAAAAUAAGCACCGACUUCAGGACUUCCCUGUGCUUCCUUUGGGAGAGAGCAAAGUGGUGGACACGAUGCUGUAAAAUAACAACGUGGAUCCCAGCCCUGCAGUGAGAGCUGUCUGAGCAGAUGCCUGCACCUUCCCAGAGCCCCUUGGAGCUCAGAGCGGCCAUGUAGGAGCAGAGAUCUUUGUGUAUCCCCUAAGGGACCAAGGCUUCAUUCCCUGCCUUGAAACAAGCAGGAUUAGGACAAAACAGAGUCUUAGCACUCAGCAUCCUACGCUGUCUAGCUCCCUCCGAAAUUAAGAGAGCAAAGUAAACCUACAGUGGCUUUGGAAUUGAAGAUGUACGUUAACUGAGCCCUCUGGUUCCAAACCGUUACGCUGACACUAAUUAAUCCUGGCACACCCACUAAUUGGCUGUCCCAGAGGCUCCCAAGGUAGAGAGCAUCUGCACUGAGCAGUGAACAGUGCAGGGAGGGACGUGAAGGAAGAGGAAGUGGAGCAGCAGUGAGGUGAGGAAGCAGCAGCCCCACAUCAGGGAGGUGCAGCUCAGCUCAGCGCAGCAGCAGUUGGAGUUGUCCAGGGGAGAACACUCCACUGCAGCCCCCAUAUGGCACUUGGGGGGGCUGGGAGCUGCAGGGCUGUUGCCAGCAGUGUGGGGAUAUGGGGGGGGUGAACAGGGUGUCUUCUUGGCCCCACACGUGACUGUUUCAGCAGAGGGCCGAGGUGGUGGGCACUGCUGCAGGAGGGCCCUCCCUGUGCCCAGCAGUGCAGCAGCUCUGCCCCAUCUCAGCCCUCUGCUCUGCACACCCAUCAUUACGCUGUGCCCUUUGGUGUCCUGCAGAGCAGCGGUGGCUGCGUGUCUGAUGGCCAACGUUGGGUCUCCCUCAUUUCCAACAGCAUCUGUCACACAGGAGUGGCCCAUAGGGGCUCCCGCACAGCCACAGCUCUCAGCAUACGGUGCUUCAGACCCAAUGAUCUCUGCCCUGAACUGAAGCUGCACUUCAGCUGCACAGCAGUGGCACUCGGCAGUGCAGCGCCGGUUCUUGCAGCACAGGAUGCACCUCGGGAAGGGCUGAGCUCAGCCCUGUGCUGCACAGCUCUCCCAGCUGCUCCUGCCAGGAGAUCCAGGAACGCUCCCCUGUGUGUCCUCCUCCCCUCUUGAAGGGGCUGAAGGCAGCGCUUUGUUGGGGAGCAGCCCGGAGCUGCCCCAUAACGCGUGCAGUGUGCUUGGCCCCAUCAAUUUCUCCUUUGUGCCUCAACCCGCAGCUGCCCCACUGCAUGGGGCCAGAGCACCCCCAGCACAACGGGCUCCUUGUUCGCCCCGUGAUUAAAAGGAGCGGCUUUUGGCCUUGAAUGUUGGUACCACCCAAAGAAAAUGUCGUUGGCGUGCAAACACAGCACUGUGCUGGGAGCUGCUGUGCCUGAGGCAGCAGCACUCGGGGCUCUGGGCUGUAACUGCAGCUCCAAACCUCUGACAAAUAAUUGCCUCUUCCUCGGCUGCUGCUCUCCCGGAGCACAGCCCUUUGGGUCAGGGACAGAGGCUGUAGGACCCUGCAGACAUGGGGGCAUCACUCCAUGCUCUGUGUCUGCUGAUGCACAAAUGCUGCUCCCUGCGCAGCACUGAGCGGAGCUGAAGGCAGCAGCCCGGCCAGGAGCGACCACAGCAGCACAGCCCAUGGCAUGGCUCAUUAGCCCUGACCUGGCUGCUAAUUGGGCUGUUCCUGGUGCUGCCCCGUGCACUGGCAGGGAGAUGGGUUUGCAGGUGAUUGCUGCUGAAGCACCACAAAGCUCUGCUGGCGGCCUGCACUGGGAACUGACUCAAACCCAGUUCCAAGAAACCUGGGAGGCACUGAGAUCAGACGAGUGCUGCUUUUACUGCUGGGCAUUUUCAUGCCCCAGGCCCCAGCACUCGCCCUCGGUCUGUUUCAGCAUCCAUCACGCCCAUGGGGUCACUGGGAGCGGUCUCAGACUCUUCUGGAUAACACUGGAAGAAGCAGAGCUGCUCCACGUGAGCUCGGGGAGGGGGCAGCCGUCAGCUCCAUCAGCCCUGGGGAUGAAUUCAGGGGAUGCUCUGCUGAGCACAGCCCUGCACAGCGCCAGUGAAGGACGUGGAGCUCUCCCAUCCCUGCAUCCCAGCUGCUGGGACAGGGCCAGGCACGGCCCCAUCCUCCCUCACACAGCUGCCUCACUGCGGGGGGAGCAGCGUGGGAAAGCACAGGGAAUGGGCAGUGUGUGCCCCAGGGACCCCACGCAGCCCCCCCAAGCUCUGCUCGCAGCCCUUGCCUGGAGCACACGUUCCCACGAGCCGCUCUGAGCAUGCACAAAGCCCCGUGAGAUGGCACAGCUGCUUCCACAGCUGUGUGGGGGUCCCUCCCCGUGCACGGGGGCUGGGGGUGCAGAGGGGCCCAUGGGACGGCACUGGGAUGGGAUGGACGGGGAUGACAUCACUGCAAUGAGGUGCAGCAAUGCGGGGCUCCGUCUGAUCCGCACGGCCGCAUCCAAAGCCCUGAGAGAGCCACGAGAACGGACUGUACUCACACAGUAAAGAACGAGAGCGCGGCUCCUCACCGAAUGUUCCACAAUAGGAAUUAAUUUCAUUUCCUUGGAGUCGAGUCCUGGCAAAACAGAUAAAAACGCUCAUUAGUUUUAACGAUUUCUGCAAAGGUCAGCUCCGAACUUCACAUUAAUUAAGUUCCUCAUCCUGCUGCCGGCUAUGGGAGCUCGUGUGCAUCCGCACGGCGCCCCUGCAGCCACUCCGACCAACCCACAGUGGGCAACGCCAUCCAAAAUAACCUUUAGAGAGCAGAGAAUGAGAUAAAUACGCGUGGAUGGGAGUUCAAAGAGCAGUGAAUUGGUGCAGACAGCGGUGGUGCACUCUGGUUGGAUCUGUGCUCGGUGCAAAGCAGCAGCAGCAGCACAGGCGCAGUGACUUCAGGGCUGUGUGGCUCAACUGCAAUCGUAAAUGCUCUCCUCGCAGCCGAGCUUUGCAUUACUUUGCUUCGUUGGGUGAAGCAGAAGCACGUGAGGGCACUCCGGGAUGGUUUUCUUUUCCACUUCUCUUUAGGAUGUUCUUCAGUAAACACAUCUUUAACCCCACGGAGCAUUGAACACCGAAUGCUUUGGGGCACAUCCUGUUUGCAAAUGGAAACUACGCAGCAUUCACCACAGAGCAGAAAUGGGGCUGUUGGGCUGCACCCAGCAGAGCCAAUGUGCACAACAGCUCCAACAGCUCCGGGAGUGGGGGCUGCAAGCAGGAACUGAUCAGGGAACCCCAAAGGAACCGGGAGACUCCAAAGGAACUGAAGGGACCCACCAGGAACUCCAAAGGAAUGGGGGGGACCCCAAAGGAAUCUGGGAUCCCAAAGGAACCAGGGGGACCCAAAAGGAACCGGGGACCCACAGGGAACCACAGACUCCAAAGGAACCAGGGGGUACCCCGAAGAAACCAGGGAACCCAUCACAAUUCAGGGACCCCAACGGAACCCAGGGGACCCCAAAAGAAUCUGAGAUCCGAAAGGAACUGGGGGGGAUCCACUGGGAACCAGGGGACCCCAAAGGAACUGGGAGGCCCCGCCACAGUUCAGAGACCCCAAAGGAACUGGGGGAGCACCAGGAACCUCAAAGGAACCGGGAGAUCCUAAAUGAACCAGAGGGACCCAAAAGGAACAGGGGGGGAACCCCACAGGCAACCAG